AUUGAACGCUGGCGGCAGGCCUAACACAUGCAAGUCGAGCGGUAGAGAGGUGCUUGCAUCUCUUGAGAGCGGCGGACGGGUGAGUAAUGCCUAGGAAUCUGCCUAGUGGUGGGGGAUAACGUUCGGAAACGGACGCUAAUACCGCAUACGUCCUACGGGAGAAAGCGGGGGAUCUUCGGACCUCGCGCCAUUAGAUGAGCCUAGGUCGGAUUAGCUAGUUGGUGAGGUAAUGGCUCACCAAGGCGACGAUCCGUAACUGGUCUGAGAGGAUGAU
rnacentral:rRNA from 1 species